GGUUCUGCCGUAGACAGAGUAAACUAUAGACUGCGUGAUAAUUCCUUUUCGUUCCCACUAAACAGAAAUACAAAUAGGGACAACGUAUUAGGAAAAAAGAGAUAGAGCAUAACUAUUUGCAUCUCUCAUUGCGUGCCGGUUUUCUCAAGGCCAGCACAAACAUUUUGCUAAACAAGUUUGACCUUCGAGACAUUGUGCUGUAAAAUUUUCAAUUAUUUAGCUAAGUUUAAAUAUAAACAGACUUGAUUUUGUUCAAUUAAAGAAGAUAAAGGCAAAUUCUAAUUGUUUACAAUGGUUCGGUGUAGUGUUCUUGGCUGUAAAAGCGAUAGUGAACGGAAAAUUGCAGGAUUGUCUUUUCAUUCUUUUCCGAUUAAGCAGAAUUUGCGUGAAGUUUGGGUAGCUGCCACAGGACGAAAUUGUUGGUGAAAGCAGUCGCCGUGCAUUACUUUGAAGUACGCAUACAUCAUACUACAAAACAGUUUUUUUCACCCAGCGAUAGAAUUUGCAACAUACACAAUAAGCUUGUACUGUUUAGAGGGCAAUAAAUUCACUAUUCACUAA